UCUUUUCGCAUCGAACGUGUUCGGGGUUCGUUGGUUGGUCGGCUGGUCGGCUAGUCGGUUCUUCAGCUCGUCGGCGGCACCUGCUCCAUAGCGACGCCAUACGCACUGGGCCAAGAUCCGAAGCUAUGGCCAGCUAUAGGCCUGCCUAACGGGAAUGCUGCGCUCUACGGGCACGUAGCACGUAGCAUGCUGCACGCAAUUAACCCACGACACAGAAAGAAAAGCUAUUGAUUUCCCAUUGACUGUGCAUAAUCAAAGCAAAGAUCUGAAAUCCCAUCUCCGGGGCAUCACAACUUGGCCAAGCACAAAUAUAUACAUGCAUAUGAUGUCUUUCCAGCUCAGAUCAUCACCGCUUUUGAAUAUCUUAAAUGACAAGAAGUUAACGCAUGCCCAAAAGAUUCGCCGGUGAGUAAUGGAGCAGUGGACGCACCCUGGAUGUAUGGAAACCUUGAACUCCGCGAGCAGACAAAGAGUAGCUGGAUAUCCUUGACAACUGUCUUCUUUAUGAAUUGAGUGAAAUAUGUGAUGCCUUCAAGACAAUACCUCUCAUACUUGCAUUUAUCAUAAAUCUCUUUACUCGUAGACCUUUUUUAAAAGUGACUCAGAGGGAUUAGCCAGAACUAAGAACUAAACUUAUUGUCUGCUCCCUUUUUAAAAAAUACCAUAUGCUCGUACAUGGACUGAUUAAAAUACAAUCAUUCUGCAGAAAACAUAUUUUUGGAAAUGCUUUCUACGACAACAACAAACUUGAAAUCAUUCGAUAGCCAAUAACUUGUUUGGCAUCUUAUCCAAUUUUUAUGUAACCCCAAAACGACCCGUGACAGUUUGUCCAACCGAUUGGCAUGUUAAGUUUGGCUACUUAAGCAUCCAAAAGAGAAAAUAUGUAUAAAACUAAGAUCGAAAGAAAAAUGCUUUUAGAUUAUGCAAAAAACAAACAAGAAAGUUGGAAUCAGAGGCCAUCGUUUUAGUCAGAGCUAUCUUUUUUAAAGCAAAUGCCUGACUUGUUAUUGGCAUGUAUCAGAGUCAUAUAACUCAGUUAUUAGACAGCGGCGUUUAAGGGAAUGUUUGAAAACAUGUUUUAAUAAUUGAUUUAUCAUUCACAUAUGUAGUUCUUGUAUAAGUAUGCAUUUUCUAUAUAGUAGUUAACAUAUGGUGCUGAUGUUUCUUUUCUCUACAUUCAAUUUGAACUGUUUUCGUUCCGUUCGAUAAUUAUACAUAUGUACACAAACACGAAGCCCUGAAGGGACGCUAUGGGUCUCCCGAAUACAUAUUAUAUAGUUAUCUAUGGGGCCAAUGCUGAUAACAAUGGGAGGAGGAGCCGCGGAAACUGAGAAAUCUAGGCUUGGGUCUGAACACUUGACAAAAAUUUGCCUGGGCCGGCAAUAAUACUCGCUACAUACAAACAUACAGACUCGGUAUCAUAAUAUAAUAUACAUUAAACAAUUCAAUAACAAGGGUAGGGGGACAAA